rnacentral:rRNA from 1 species
GACGAACGCUGGCGGCGCGCCUAACACAUGCAAGUCGAUCGGAGUCAAGAGGAGCUUGCUUUUCUUGACUUAGUGGCGAACGGGUGAGUAACGCGUGAGUAACCUGCCCUGGAGUGGGGGACAACAGUUGGAAACGACUGCUAAUACCGCAUAAGCCCACGGAUCCGCAUGGAUCUGCGGGAAAAGGAUUUAUUCGCUUCAGGAUGGACUCGCGUCCAAUUAGCUAGUUGGUGAGGUAACGGCCCACCAAGGCGACGAUUGGUAGCCGGACUGAGAGGUUGAACGGCCACAGUAGGACUGAGACACGGCCCAGACUCCUACGGGAGGCAGCAGUGGGGGAUAUUGCACAAUGGGGGAAACCCUGAUGCAGCGACGCCGCGUGGAGGAAGAAGGUUUUCGGAUUGUAAACUCCUGUCGUUAGGGACGAUAAUGACGGUACCUAACAAGAAAGCACCGGCUAACUACGUG